CACUGCAAUCCAAACUGGCCUCUUUGAUUACGUGUGGGUUCAAUUCUAUAACAAUCCUUCAUGUCAAUACGUAAAUGAUGCUACCGGUCUCUUGAGUGCAUGGAACCAAUGGACCACAGUUCAAUCCAAUCAAAUAUUCCUGGGACUACCUGCUGCUCCCGAGGCAGCCCCUAGUGGUGGAUUCAUCCCUGCCGAUGUGCUCAUUUCUCAGGUCCUUCCAUCUAUCAAGGGUUCACCAAAGUAUGGAGGCGUGAUGCUCUGGAGCAAGCAGUAUGACAAUGGGUAUAGUGCAGCAAUAAAGGGCAGUGUCUAGAUUUUUUUCAGCCCUGCUCUUCCCCAUGCUGUGUGCUCCUGAUUCCUGAAUAUAUAUAUAUAUAUAUAUAUAUAUAUAUAUAUAUAUAUGCCACAGCAUGUUUGUUCUAAAGAGUGUUUGCGGCGAUCAAAAUAUUAUGUUUACUUAGAUUUCAAGCUAAAAGCUAAAUAAAACGAAAUUAUAGUUCCCUGACAAGGAAAAUAUAAUCAAUUUACCAGUGAAUUCCUUAUAGUGUUUUUUCUUUUUUUUUUCUUUUUCAUCAAGCUCAACAAAAAGUCUUGUGGUUGUGGAGUAACUUUAUGCUUCAAAAGGGGUGUCUAAAUUUUUCCACUCGAUCCAUGGAUGCAAAUCCCUUGAUAUAUUAAUUUGCUGACAUUUUCAAAGGCAAAAUGUGAAAGAAAGAAAAGUUGCCAAACAAAUAAUAUUGAAUCAAUGAGACUAAGGUUAACAGAAAUAAAAUCCGUUUUAAUGGAGGAUGAACAAGAAAUGGAAAUGUUAUAAUCAACUGGGGUACUGUCAUGCAUGACGGGAAAAAAUAGUAGUUCAUAUGCUUUUAGAAAAUUAUAUAUGUAUUAAAUUUUAUUAGUUAAUUACCAAAGCUUUAGUCAUUUCAACAAUAGUUUUAAUAUUUUUAGCUAUAAAAAUAGGUAAAAAUGGUUAAUUUUAAUUAACAAUGAAUUGUUUAAAACAAAAGACAUAUAUUCAUCCAAAAUUUAAUUUAUAUUUUUGAGAUAAAAAGAUGAAUCGUGAAUGUAUUCUCCUAUUUUUCUCAUAUAAUUAGUGAGUAAAUAAUAAACUUUAAAAAAUAAUUAUUAUCUUAUGUAAAUUUUAUACAUAGCUUAGUAUUUUUUUUUUCUUAUAUUAUAACUAUCCAUUGAUUAGCUUUUAAGAAAUAAAUUUAAUAUUUCUCUAAGUUGGUCUUCGAGACUGUGCAUAGGAAAUUAUAGUUUUAUAGCAUUAUUGAGAUUUUUUGAAAGAUUAACUUAGAUUUUUUCCAAAAAAUUAAAUUUGUUAGGUGUAUUUGUAAGGAAUUCACUUUUGUUUUCUAUUUGAUUGGAAUUUGGUAGGUUUAUUUUGUUGAUUGUGUUUGAAAUAUUCAAUACCUAACUAGUUCAAAAAAAUCAUACAUGUAGCCGCCCAAGUAAUCGAUCUGACUUAUAAAGCUGACUUGUUAUUAGAUAAUUUACAAAGCCAGAUAAACUUAAAAAAGUUAAAAUUAAAAAAAAUAUCUAAGUUAGCGUGUUUUUAAGAAGAUAAAAAAUAAAUUACAUAAAAACUCAUAUGAAGUGAACCGGUAAACUAUACAAGUUAAAAGAUAAUCUAAACAAUAGAAAAAAAAAACAUUAUUUAACUAAAAAUUUUAAUAUAAAAUUCAUGAUUCGGAUUAUGAGACUGUGGUAAUUUCAUGAAAAGAAAAUAAAAAAACAUAUUAAAACUCAAUUCUCAAUCAACUCAAUAUUGAAAAAUAAAUUAAAAAAAAUAAAAAAUAACAAAAAAACUCAAGUCAAUCAGAGUUAACAUGUCAAACAUAGAUCAUGAGAUCAAUAUAACCUAAUAGAAAACAAAACAAAACAAGUUAUGAAGCUCAUGAGACCAAUAUAACCUAAUAGAAAACAAAACAAAACAAGUUAUGAAGCUCAAUUCUCAAUCAGUCUAAUAUUGAAGGAUAAAAUUGAAAAAAAAUAACAAAAAAAUACACGAGUCAACUCCGUUUAACCCGUCAAACUCUUGAUUCAAAUCAUAAGACUAAGAUAACAUUAUAAAAAGCAAACCGAAAUAAAUUAUAAAAUUUAAUUCUUAAUCAACCCAAACAGUGAAUGAUAAAAUUAAAAAUAAAAAAAUUUAACUACAAAAAAUAACAAAAAAAACAGAGGCAACCAAGUUAACCUGCAAAACUAGUAACUUGGAUCGUGGAAUUAUGAUAACUUUAUAGAAAACAAAUCAAAAUAAAUUAUCAACCCCAAUAAAUCUAAUAUUAAAAAAUUUAAAAAAAAAGUGCUAAAAAGAGGGAAUCACUGCUUCCCUCCUCACAAAUUCCUGUUACAAUUAGUUUUUUUUAAAAAAAUUAAUAUGGGUGUCCGAACAAGUUUACACGUACCUCAACUAAUCUCAUAUAUCCUAAAAUUAACAAUCAUACAAGCAUAUAGUAUCCCUGUAAUAAUAUUACUUCAUUAUAGUUGUUAAACAUACAUGUCUACUCAUGUUCUAUGUUCUGGCCUUUUCUUUAAGUAGAGCAUGUUUGGUAUUGUGGUUGUUUUUGUGGUUGUGGUUUAAAAAAAGCAGUUUAAUAAAAAGUGCUUUUCGUGAGGUUUGUUUUAAAAUUUGAUGUGUUUAGUUAAAACUGCGGUUGAAAUUAUGGUUGAAAAAAAACAGUUUCUUGUGUUUGGUUAAUAUGCUUUUUGUAUGAUGUUUGAUUGUAAAAUUACCUAAAAGGACAUAUAUCUAUAUAUAUAUAAUGGCAAAACAUUAUUAUUUUAUAAUUAUGAUUACAUAAUCCUUGUACGUUAAUAAAAGUUUUUCAGUGUCCUAUCAAACUAUUUGAAAAAAAUAUAAUAAAAAAUAAUAUUAAUUAAAAUAAAAAUAAAAAUUAGAAUAAAAAAAUAAGUUAGUGAUAGUCCAGGUGACAUAAAUGAAUGUAAAAAAUAUAAAAAAAACACAAACAAGUUUGAGGUGUAAAAUAAGAAAUUCAAUUCUAAAGGUAUUCAAGCAUUUUUAAUGUUCAUGUAAAAAGAAAAUUACAACACAGCCUCUGCACAAACAAGUUUUUUUAAGAGAUUAUUUUAGUAAUACCACUAUUAAAAAAAAAGUAAAACAAAAACAUAUUACUUCAGUUACUUUUGACAAAUAGUCUUUCAUUUUAUUGAAAACUCGUAUUUUUGCUCCAUGGCAAAACAGCCCUCGGAAAGUUUGCAAUGUUAAUUAAAUUUAUACAGUGUUGGUGAGAGAGAGAGGAGAACACAACAACGAAAAGCAGAGCACAGCAACGAAAAGCAAUGGUAAGUUGCUUUUCACAAACUGAGGUUGGUCCUCAGUUUUUAAGUGGGGUCCACGUGAAAAAAAAUACGGUUAGCAUUAACCAAACAUUUUAAAACAACUUUUAAUUUUAACCGCAGCCACAACAGCAGAUCCAAACACCCUCUAGUGAUCCAUCAUCUCGUUUACACUCAGUGACGUUUGAACUUCAAUCUUAUCCGGCUAACACCUAAAUGCUCCUUGACUCAGCUAAGUUGCCUACCUGCCACGUGCUUUGUUUUUUAUUUUCUAAGUUAAUUGAUGAUUUUCUAGCAUAAUUGAAGUCAAUGGUUAACUUGGUGUGUUGACUCAGUUAAGAUACGAUGUUUUAGUUAAAAAAAAAGACCUUCAAAUAUUGUCAUUUUAAAUUUAUUCAAGUUAAUUAGAAUUAAUUUGUUGAAACUUUAAACUAAAUCUUGGAUCGGGACAUUACUAAGAUGGGUUUAUGUAGUGAGGGAAUGUUAUAGUUUUUUAAAGUGUUUUUUAUUUAUAAAAAUAUUAAAAUAAUAAUUUUUUAUUUUUAAAAUUUAUUUUUAAUACCAACACAUUAAAAUUAUUUAAAAUUAAAAAAAUUAAAUAAAUUUAAAAUUAAAAAAUUAAAAAAUCUUUUUAAAGGCGCACAAACAGUCUCUUGAUAUUAAAUUUGUACUAAACAAUGCUCAAAUUAAAGAGAGAGAAAAGAGUUUAACGCAUAACCACUGUAAAAUGUGAAAGGAGUUGUUUUAUUGUUUUUAUUAGUGCUGCUUAAUUAACUUCAUCGAAGUUUUAACAUUUUUCACUUGGCUAGCAUCUGUCUCUGGGCAUGACAACUAGAAUAAUUAAUAAAGUAACAGUCAAACUAUAAGUUAGUCACUAAUUUUUUAAGAAAAUAAUUAAUUGGUCUCUUUAGGGGUACUUGAUAUAGAGUUUCAACUUGUUUUUUAUUAUUAUUAUUAUUAUUAUUAUUAAAAUUUAAUAUUUUUUUCUUCAAAUUAAUUUUUUUUAUUUUUUUUAAAUUAUUUUUAUGGGCUAAUUUUAAAAAUGAAUUUUAAAAAAAUUAAAAAAAUAUUAUUUUAAUACAUUUUCAAAUAAAAAAUAUUUAAAAAACAAUUAUUAUUAUUCUUCCAAACACUCUUGUUUCGAAAAUCAUUCAUUAAUCUCUUGGCAUUUUUUCAUCAUUAACUUAUAAACAAUAAAUACAUUUUUUUUCAAUUAAAAACAAAAAAUGACAACAAAAUAAUUCAAUUAAAAACAAAAAAAACAUUUUAUUGGCAUGUAAGCGUGUAUUGGAUAUUAUAAGAGUGUUACAUCUUGCACGUAUUUAUUCAAGUUACAAGUUCCUUGACAAUUGAUUUAUAUAAAGUAAGUCUUUUGGUGAUUUUAUUUUGUAUGAGUCGGAAAAGUUAGAUAUGUGAUUAUUUAAAUUUGGAGAGGACUAAAUUAAAAUUUAAUUAUGAAGUGAGAAGUGAUGAGCAAGGGGGUCAGUAAAAUGGCUUAAUCUUUUUUAUUUUCACUAAGAAUUUUUUUAAAUACAACAAUAUGUCAAAAAAAUUAUAUAACAUGCGGAGAAAAAAGAAUAUCUAACAUGCGGAGAAGCGUGGGUUAAGUACCUAGUCAUUGUCUAAAACUGUAACUUCUCUGGGUGAAAAAUAAUAAAUUGACUAGUCUUAUGCAAAAUAAAAAAAAAUUUAUAACUCUCAAUCGGGUUAAUUUCAUCCUUGAAAUUUAAAUUCAUACCUAUGUAAGAAAAUAAUCUGGGAUAUUUCUUCUUCAUUUCUGACUCUCUCUCCUAGGUUUCUUCUUCUAUUUGAGAGUUUCUCCACAAUACAUUUACUAACGACACCUUUUUAUUUUGUAAUUCCUUUAUACUUCGGUCCAUAAUUUACACAGGUUGUACCUCCAUAGUUAAAUCUUCUUGUACUUCCAUCGGAAUUUAUGGCAAAAUUCGUGCAGGAUCCAAGUUUGCUUUCCGCAGCAUCGAAACAUGAAACACAUUGUGUAUCCUAUCUAAAUGUGGUGGCAAUAAUAUUUGAUAGGCAACCGUCCCAAUUCUUUCUAUAAUUUUAUAUGCCUCAAUAUACCUAGGUGCUAAUUUGUCUUUCAUUCUAAACUGAAUCACAUGCUUCCAUGGAACAAUUUUUAAAAAUACCAUGAAUGAGAUGUGAUCCAAGAUGAUUGGAUCAAGAUGAAAGUUGUAAUGACAUAUAAUAUAAGUGUUGUUGAUAAUUUGGUACCAACAAAAAUAGAGAAAAUUUUGUCGAAAUUUUCAAAAAAAUAAAUUUCAUAAUCUUAGAUAUAUUAUUCAAUACUUGACAUUAGUAAAUAAAUGUUUGAGAUUUCAUGACAUUAUAAUUUGAGGAAGUUACAAAAAAAAAACUUAUUCUAAGUUAAAUUUCAAAUUAGUAAGUUAUUUGGUAAACUAGUUAGGUUGUAAUGGGUUAAAGUUGUAUUUCUAAGUGUAGUAGCGAUUCUUUUUCAAAGUGUUUUUUACUUGGAAAUACAUGAAAAUAAUAUUAUUUUUUUUUUUUAAAAAUAUUUUUAAUAUUAACAUAUUAAAACAAUCCAAAAUAUUAUAAAAUUUAAUUUUAAAUAAAAAAAAUUAAAAAAUUAUAAAACACGGCUUCAACCGCGAAAUAAAUCAGCACUUCUAGCUAUGAAAUUAUUUCAUAGCCUGCUUUUGAUGGAAUCGCCAAAGUGGAAACCAAUUUCAGACUGCUAAAAAAACAGUCCCUAAUUCCCCUUUGAUUCCAGGAAACUCACUGAGGGACUUAAAUGGUAUCUGCCAAACCGUCCUGGUCCGACUAUUUGUAAAUAGAGAAGACCAGUAUAAUCUUUAAUAACCAUGGCACUUUUUUCUUGUCUACAUUAUUUUUAUGCAGAAUUCUUCUAUACUUUCAAUGAGAACGGCACCAAUUUCUUGCCCACAAACCACGGUAAUCAGACUUUUCUACUAAGACACCUAGACACGCAUGGUCCUCAGAAGCUAUAAAUAUGUUCCGUCUCCACAUUGUUGAUACACAGAACAAGCUUGAGAUCCAAAAUGGCUUGCCAAGCAAAAGCUAUCACCCUUCUUCUAUCCAUCUUAGCUGUCUCCUUAUGCAAACCCUCAGAUGGUGCAGGCAUCGCCAUCUAUUGGGGUCAAAAUGGCAAUGAAGGCAGCUUAGCUGAUACUUGUAACACAGGAAACUAUCAAUUUGUGAACGUAGCUUUCCUAUCUAGUUUCGGCAAUGGCCAAUCUCCAGUGCUGAACCUAGCAGGCCAUUGUGACCCCAGCGCCGGUACUUGCACCGGCAUAAGCAAUGACAUUAGAUCUUGUCAAAAUCAAGGAAUCAAGGUGCUGCUUUCCAUUGGAGGUGGCGCAGGCAGCUACUCCCUUUCAUCGGCCGACGAUGCAGGGCAAGUUGCAAACUAUAUCUGGAAUAACUUCCUUGGUGGUCAGUCCAGCUCACGUCCGCUAGGCGAUGCCAUCCUAGAUGGGGUUGAUUUUGACAUCGAGGCAGGUUCAGGCCAGUUCUGGGAUGAUCUUGCUAGGGCACUUAAUGGCUUUAGCCAACAAAGGAAGGUAUACUUAGCUGCAGCUCCACAAUGCAUCUUCCCUGAUGCUAAUCUAGACACUGCAAUCAAAACUGGCCUCUUUGAUUACGUGUGGGUUCAAUUCUAUAACAAUCCUCCAUGUCAAUACGUAAAUGAUGCUACCGGUCUCUUGAGUGCAUGGAACCAAUGGACCACAGUUCAAUCCAAUCAAAUAUUCCUGGGACUACCUGCUGCUCCCGAGGCAGCCCCUAGUGGUGGAUUCAUCCCUGCUGAUGUGCUCAUUUCUCAGGUCCUUCCAUCUAUCAAGGGUUCACCCAAGUAUGGAGGCGUGAUGCUCUGGAGCAAGCAGUAUGACAAUGGGUAUAGUGCAGCUAUAAAGGGCAGUGUCUAGAUUUUUUUCAGCCCUGCUCUUCCCCAUGCUGUGUGCUCCUGAUUCCUGAAUAAAUUUGAUAUAUGUAUAUAUUUAUGCCACAGCAUGUUGAUCUAAAGAGUGUACGCGGCGAUCAAAAUAUUAUGUUUACUUAAAUUUCAAGCUAAAUAAAACGAAAUUAUAGUUCCCUGAUAAGGAAAAUAUAAUCAAUUUACCAGUGAAUUCCUUAUAGUGUUUUUUUUUCUUUUUCAUCAAGCUCAACAAAAGUCUUGUGGUUGAGGAGUAACUUUAUGCCUUCUAAGAGUCUUCAAAACUCAACUGGGGUGUCUAAAUUUUUCCACUCGAUCCAUGAAUGUGAAUCCCUUGAUAUAUUAAUUUGCUGACAUUUUCAAAGUUAAAAUGUGAAAGAAAGAAAAGUAGUCAAACAAAUGAAUUUUGAAUCAACGAGACUAAGGCUAACAGAAAUAAAACCCGUUUUAAUGGAGGAUGAGCAAGAAAUGGGAAUGUAAUAAUCAAUUAUUUAGAUUAAAACUUACCGUUUUAUUUAAAUUAAACAGCGGGUUAUUUCCUUUUAAACCCACAAUUUAAUAUCUUAAAAAUACUAGAUACUAAAAUCUAGCAAUAAAUUAAUUAUUUGCUUUAAUCAAACUAAGAACUAUUCUAAAAUCUAAAUAACGUGUAUUAUUCUGUGUCUGUACCAUUUCCUAAUGCCCAAAUGUUGAAGGGGCUUCUUUUAUUGAUAUGGGAACAUUGAAUUUGGGAUCUGCUUUCAAAUUAUUCAUAUGGUUCAUAGCAUAUCAAUUUAGUGAACGUAACUGCUCUGUGUUCUGGAAUUCCCUUCCCAUGAAGCUCUCUAUGAAGUAUUGUUUUAUGUUGCCAUUGAAACAGUAAUGCAGAUGAAUAUUCAUUUGAAAUCUAUUCUCUCCCCAUACUAUGUAAACAUAUUAUUUUGAGUUCGCAUGUGCGCUUUUCAUCAUUGAUGGAGAAAGAAGGAUAAGCAUAGCUAAAUUAUAUGUUUGAAUGCACACGUUUUCAGGUACCGUCAGAGUCUCGGCGGUGUUGUUCACAAAAUCUACAAAAAAAAGUGGACUCGUUGUUGUUCUCCGAGGAAGAUGAAUUGCCUAAUUAUUCUAUCCUCAACAGUGAGGACAGUAAUCAAACCCGGAGAGAAGAAAUAGAACGAGAUGAAAUGGAUGAUGAUAAUAGAAUCAUUGACUCAGUUUCAGCAGAAGAUGAGUCCCUUAGACAGGUGGAAAAUGAGCGUCAAAGCCCCCAAGGGAUGAAUCAGGAGGAGCAUGCUCGAAAAUUCGUUGAUGUUCAAACCAGGAGACAGAGGGCAAGAAGAUUUGCAUCUUUUGCUAGCUGGGUUCCAAAUUUGCAGAGAGUUUGGGCACCGAAGCAGCCAGAGGCAAUGAAACCAGAUCCUCUUCGUAAUUUGACAAUGAGUACAGUGCAGCUACAAAGGGCAGUGUCUCCGUCUUGCAGCCUUGCUCUUCAUGCUAUCAUCUUAUGUUAUUCUGAGUGUAGCAUUCACUUGUUGGCAAUAAAAAACAUGACUGUAUGCUUGAACUUGAUCCCACACUAAAUGAAACAAAAUUAUAUUUCCUGAUGAGAAAAUUAAUCUAGAUUGAUUUGGAUUUUUUUUUAAUUUGAUUAUUACUAGUUUAGUAGAUGUAUUAUUGAAAGAAAAUAAAUUCUGGAACAGGGAAAUUUUUUUAUGAUUUUAACACAAGAUUGCUUAGCUAAACUACAGUACGGGAAAAAGAGUGAGUUUCUUAGGAUAUAUUAUUAUUAACUCCAAGGCAUUGGUCGAGAGGUGCACUUUUUGUGUGGAUAAUAGUAUGACAAGGUUUUCACGUUAUCAGCUCUUGCGAGGUAGCCUGCGAGAGGUUUUUCCUCGUUAAUUUUUUUUAGCGUGAAUUAUAGUUGUGUUCAAAAUAUGACCGGAUUACGGCAUUACAUGGGAGAGUGUUAAAAGAUUAAAAUGUUUUUUAUUUUAGAAAGUAUAAAAAUAAUAUUUUUUUAAAUUUAUUUUUGAUAUAGCAUAUCAAAAUAAUUAAAAAAACAAUUAAAAAACUAAUUUUAAACUAAAACAAAUUCAAAUUUAAAAAAAAUAGUGUUUUGGCUGCAAAUCACAAAGUUAUUGGGUUAAUAAAUCAUUUUCUAUAGAUCAUUUUAGAUAAAAAAUUUAGAGUUGACUCGGCUAAGUCUCACUUGGUUUCUGAUUGGGUCAAGUAGAUUACCGAUUGACCUGUCAAGUCACUCAAAUUUAAUCAUAUUAAUGCCUGAAAUAGUUUAAAAAAAACUUAGUUAAAAUCCCAGACGAGUUUAGCCGGGUCAACUAGAUCACGAAUUGACAAUCAAGUUACUGUAUUUUACUGUAUCAUUGUCUAAAACAGUGCAAACAAAACUAUUCUAUCACUGUAUAAAACAGUUCAAACAAAACUAUUCUAAGUUAAAUUUCAAGUUAGUAAGUUACCCGGUCAACUGUCGCACAGGGUUUAGAUUGUGUUUGGAAGUGAAGUAAUGGUUGUUUUUUAAAGUAUUUUCCGCUAAAAAAUACAUGAAAAUAAUAUUUUUAAAAUACAAAAUUAUUUUUAACAUCAAAAUUUCAAAACAAUCUAAAAAUACUAAAAGAAUUAUUUUUAAACAAAAAAACAAAAAAAAAAACAUAAAACACGGUUUCAAUUGGAAAAACAAACAGCAACUUAAUAACUAAGAAAUUCAUCGCCUGCUUUUGAUGGAAUCGUCAAAGUGGAAACCAAUUUCAGACUGCCAGAAAAACAGUCCCUAAUUCCCCUUUGAUUCCAGGAAACUCACUGAGGGACUUAAAUGGUAUCUGCCAAACCGUCCUGGUCCUACUAUUUGUAAAUAAAGAAGACCAGUAUAAUCUUUAAUAACCAUGGUACUUUAUUCUUGUCUACAUUAUUUUUAUGCAGAAUUCUUCUAUACUUUCAAUGAGAACGGCACCAAUUUCUUGCCCACAAACCACGGUAAUCAGACUUUUCUACUAAGACACCUAGACACGCAUGGUCCUCAGAAGCUAUAAAUAUGUUCCGUCUCCACAUUGUUGAAACACAGAACAAGCUUGAGAUCCAAAAUGGCUUGCCAAGCAAAAGCUAUCACCCUUCUUCUAUCCAUCUUAGCUGUCUCCUUAUGCAAACCCUCAGAUGGUGCAGGCAUCGCCAUCUAUUGGGGUCAAAAUGGCAAUGAAGGCAGCUUAGCUGAUACUUGUAACACAGGAAACUAUCAAUUUGUGAACGUAGCUUUCCUAUCUAGUUUCGGCAAUGGCCAAUCUCCAGUGCUGAACCUAGCAGGCCAUUGUGACCCCAGCGCCGGUACUUGCACCGGCAUAAGCAAUGACAUUACAUCUUGUCAAAAUCAAGGAAUCAAGGUGCUGCUUUCCAUUGGAGGUGGCGCAGGCAGCUACUCCCUUUCAUCGGCCGACGAUGCAGGGCAAGUUGCAAACUAUAUCUGGAAUAACUUCCUUGGUGGUCAGUCCAGCUCACGCCCGCUAGGCGAUGCCAUCCUAGAUGGGGUUGAUUUUGACAUCGAGUCAGGUUCAGGCCAGUUCUGGGAUGAUCUUGCUAGGGCACUUAAUGGCUUUAGCCAACAAAGGAAGGUAUACUUAGCUGCAGCUCCACAAUGCAUCUUCCCUGAUGCUAAUCUAGACACUGCAAUCAAAACUGGCCUCUUUGAUUACGUGUGGGUUCAAUUCUAUAACAAUCCUCCAUGUCAAUACGUAAAUGAUGCUACCGGUCUCUUGAGUGCAUGGAACCAAUGGACCACAGUUCAAUCCAAUCAAAUAUUCCUGGGACUACCUGCUGCUCCCGAGGCAGCCCCUAGUGGUGGAUUCAUCCCUGCUGAUGUGCUCAUUUCUCAGGUCCUUCCAUCUAUCAAGGGUUCACCCAAGUAUGGAGGCGUGAUGCUCUGGAGCAAGCAGUAUGACAAUGGGUAUAGUGCAGCUAUAAAGGGCAGUGUCUAGAUUUUUUUCAGCCCUGCUCUUCCCCAUGCUGUGUGCUCCUGAUUCCUGAAUAAAUUUGAUAUAUGUAUAUAUUUAUGCCACAGCAUGUUGAUCUAAAGAGUGUACGCGGCGAUCAAAAUAUUAUGUUUACUUAAAUUUC
rnacentral:lncRNA from 1 species